rnacentral:lncRNA from 1 species
AGGGUGCACUCGCCGGCGAGGCUGCACGGCGCCGGUUUCAUUGCUAAAAUCCGACGGACUUGUUGCAGAACUCGUUUUUUUUGUCGGGAAAGGGCUUCCCCGUGUAACUUUACAGCAGUUAUCGUAGAUAAGACUUGCAAAUUACAGAUGUGGACGGUGAGGGAACGGGAAUUUCACUGAAAGCGCCUGAGAACCAGUAAGAGACCUGCAACAGCUUUGUGCUCCACUGGCGAAUGCUUCCUCCCCUAAUACACAUUAUGUGUGCUUGGAGACACAAGGAGUAAGAUACAGCCCCUCAAGGGACUCGUCAUAGGGAGAGGACACAGCUUUGGGAAUAAAGGGGCCACAAAGGAGGAGAGAGGAGUUUGCUGAAACUUCCCAAGCUCCCAUUCCAGCAGUUCCUGAAGGGUAGGUAGGAUUUUGGGGAGACAGUAGAACGUGGGCAGAGAACUUUGGAAGGAGGAGAUGAGGAGAACAAAAAGUCUCCUGAUCCUGGACAGUUUUUUGUGUUAAGAGUGGGCCAGAGUGUAGAGAGAGAGAAUGUAGUAUUUGUCGGUUUACUCUUUCUUUGUUUGUUUGAGACGGAGUCUCGCACUGUCGCCCAGGCUGGAGUGCAGUGGCGCGAUCUCGGGUCACUGCAACCUCCGCCUCCUAGGUUCAAGUGAUUCUCGUGCCUCAGCCUCCUGAGUAGUUGGGAUCACAGGCACACGCCACCACGCUGGCUCAAUUUUGUAUUUUUAGUAGAGAUUGGGAGUGGGGGCAGGGGGUUGGUCUCACCAUGUAUGCCAGUCUGGUCUUGAACUCCUAACCUCAAGUGAUUCACCCACCUCAGCCUCCCAAAGUGCUGGGAUUACGGGCAUGAGCCACCGCACCUGGCCUGCCAGUUUACUCUUAAACUCUGUUGUAAACGCUGAAUUUUGUUAAAAUAGCUCUGUCAGACACACUGCUCUUUUCUGUCUUUCAGUCUUUUUCUUGGCUCUUUUCCGGGUACAUAUGGUAAGAUUGUCCAAAGUCUUUCCGUCCUUUCACUCCACUCUCUCACUCACACUUUGGCUUUUAACGUCUAUUUAUGGAAAGAUGACUACCAGAUUAUUAUCUCCAAUCAGGAUGGCUCCCCUAAAC